rnacentral:rRNA from 1 species
GAUUGAACGCUGGCGGCAUGCCUAACACAUGCAAGUCGAACGGGAGUAGCAAUACUCUAGUGGCGGACGGGUGAGGAAUACGUAGGAAUUUGCCCUUAAGUGGGGGAUAACCCGGGGAAACCCGGAUUAAUACCGCAUGACCUCGAAAGAGCAAAGUGGGGGGUCGCAAGACCUCACGCUUUUGGAGAAGCCUACGUCGGAUUAGCUAGUUGGUGAGGUAAUGGCUCACCAAGGCGACGAUCCGUAACUGGUCUGAGAGGAUGAUCAGUCACACCGGAACUGAGACACGGUCCGGACUCCUACGGGAGGCAGCAGUGGGGAAUAUUGGACAAUGGCGCAAGCCUGAUCCAGCAAUGCCGCGUGUGUGAAGAAGGCCGUUCGGGUUGUAAGUAC